GACGUAGGAUGCAAGCGUUGUCCGGAAUUAUUGGGCGUAAAGAGUUCGUAGGCGGUUUGUUAAGUCUGGUGUUAAAGACGGGAGCUCAACUCCCGCAUGGCAUUGGAUACUGGCAGGCUAGAGUGCGGUAGAGGUCUCGGGAAUUCCAGGUGUAGCGGUGAAAUGCGUAGAUAUCUGGAGGAACACCGGUGGCGAAAGCGAGAGACUGGGCCGUAACUGACGCUGAGGAACGAAAGCCAGGGGAGCGAAAGGG
rnacentral:rRNA from 1 species